GGGCCCGCACAAGCAGCGGAGCAUGUGGUUUAAUUCGAAGCAACGCGAAGAACCUUACCUAGACUUGACAUCCCCUGAAUUACCUGUAAUAAGGGAAGCCCUCCGGGGCAGGGAGACAGGUGGUGCAUGGUUGUCGUCAGCUCGUGUCGUGAGAUGUUAGGUUAAGUCCUGCAACGAGCGCAACCCUUAUCAUUAGUUGCUACCAUUUAGUUGAGCACUCUAGUGAGACUGCCCGGGUCAACCGGGAGGAAGGUGGGGAUGACGUCAAAUCAUCAUGCCCCUUAUGUCUAGGGCUACACACGUGCUACAAUGGUGAGUACAGAGAGAUGCAAACCCGCAAGGGUGAGCCAAACUUUAAAACUCGCCCCAGUUCGGAUUGCAGGCUGAAACCCGCCUGCAUGAAGCUGGAGUUGCUAGUAAUCGCGGAUCAGAAUGCCGCGGUGAAUGCGUUCCCGGGCCUU
rnacentral:rRNA from 1 species